AUUUAGUAUGAUGAUCUGGGAACAACACCAACACGAGGAUAUCAGAUCAACCUCCAGUUGAAGUUAAGUAGAAAGAAAUGGGAGCAUGGCAGUAUGCAGAUAAUAUGGAGACUGCAUAAGCCCUGUUGGUUCAGAACAUAUCCAUGGGGAAUGAGCAAAGCUUUUGUUGGAUCCAAGCCCCCAUAGUCGAGUCUCCAGCAUUGUGCAAAUGCUUGCUGCAAGCCUUCCCCACCAAGAAGACCACCUCGGCAAUGUUGAGUAGAAUACAAACACCUGACACAGCCAACAUGAACACGGUGAAGACAGUCUUCUCUGUGGGUCUCGACACAAAGCAGUCCACCGUGUUGGGACAUGGGUAGGAGUCGCACUUCACCAGCCGGAUCAUCUUGUAACCAGGGUCUUUCGGGUUGGACCGGCCCGACAGUUUGUAGAGCCUCUUGUCAACAUGACGCCGAUGGGCAACGUGCAUGGCUACCAGCAGGGCAGGAGUGGAGACCAGGAUGAGCUGGAGUGCCCAGAGUCGAAUGUGGGAGAUG